UACGAAGGGGGCUAGCGUUGUUCGGAAUUACUGGGCGUAAAGCGUGCGCAGGCGGCCAUCCAAGUCAGUGGUGAAAGCCCGGAGCUCAACUCCGGAAUUGCCAUUGAAACUGUUUGGCUCGAGUACGAGAGAGGUGAGUGGAAUUCCCAGUGUAGAGGUGAAAUUCGUAGAUAUUGGGAAGAACACCGGUGGCGAAGGCAGCCCCCUGGGCCAAUACGUGACGCUC
rnacentral:rRNA from 1 species